UUCGUAGGGGGCUAGCGUUGUCCGGAUUUAUUGGGCGUAAAGAGCGUGUAGGCGGCCGGGUAAGUCCGGUGUGAAAACUCGAGGCUUAACCUCGAGAUGUCAUCGAAACUAUUCGGCUAGAGUCCGGAAGAGGAGAGUGGAAUUCCUGGUGUAGCGGUGAAAUGCGCAGAUAUCAGGAAGAACACCAAUGGCGAAAGCAGCUCUCUGGGACGGUACUGACGCUGAGACGCGAAAGCGUGGGGAGCGAACAGG
rnacentral:rRNA from 1 species